CCCAGACUCCUACGGGAGGCAGCAGUGGGGAAUAUUGCACAAUGGGGGAAACCCUGAUGCAGCGACGCCGCGUGAGUGAAGAAGUAUUUCGGUAUGUAAAGCUCUAUCAGCAGGGAAGAAAAUGACGGUACCUGAUUAAGAAGCCCCGGCUAACUACGUGCCAGCAGCCGCGGUAAUACGUAGGGGGCAAGCGUUAUCCGGAUUUACUGGGUGUAAAGGGAGCGUAGACGGUGAUGCAAGUCAGAAGUGAAAGCCCGGGGCUCAACUCCGGGACUGCUUUUGAAACUGUGUAACUGGAGUGCAGGAGAGGUAAGCGGAAUUCCUAGUGUAGCGGUGAAAUGCGUAGAUAUUAGGAGGAACACCAGUGGCGAAGGCGGCUUACUGGACUGUAACUGACGUUGAGGCUCGAAAGCGUGGGGAGCAAACAGGAUUAGAUACCCUAGUACA
rnacentral:rRNA from 1 species